CCUACGGGAGGCUGCAGUGAGGAAUAUUGGUCAAUGGGCGAGAGCCUGAACCAGCAAAGUCGCGUGAAGGAUGACGGCCCUACGGGUUGUAAACUUCUUUUGUCAGGGAGCAAUUGAGUCCACGCGUGGUCUUAGCGAGAGUACCUGAAAAAAAAGCAUCGGCUAACUCCGUGCCAGCAGCCGCGGUAAUACGGAGGAUGCGAGGGUUAUCCGGCUUGAUGGGGUUUAAGGGGGGCGUAGGUGGACUAUCACGUCCGCGGGAAAAAUUGGGGGCUAAACCCGGUCGUGCCGUUGAAACUGUUGUUCUUGAGUGGGCGAGAAGUAUGCGGAAUGCGUUGUGUAGCGGUGAAAUGCAUAGAUAUCACGCAGAACUCCGAUUGCGAAGGCAGCAUACCGGCGCCCAACUGACGCUGAAGCACGAAAGCGUGGGUAUCGAACAGGAUUAGAUACCCGUGUAGUC
rnacentral:rRNA from 1 species